AAAAUAAUCUAAACGGGGGGGUAUACCCGAAAAAUGAAAAAACCCAAACUUUGAAGGCCGAUAUCUCGGCUUCUAUAGGAGCUAUCGGGAAAAUUCCAACGGUUUUGUCUUAGUUAUGUCCUUCUGAAACCAACGAGAUCAUCCGCAAGGUCGUAGCUUUUACGAUAGCCGAGAUAUGGCAUUUUUGAUGCCCAUUUUUGGCCUCAAAAACGAGGUCGAAAAAAUACUCGAUUUCUUAGUUUUGCUCGGAUUCCCUUAUAACCCGGUAUUUUUGUGAUCUACUUGAUGAGAACAAUCCGCUGGUAUAGUUAGUUCGAAUUCGAAAAAAAAAAUUUUUCUGAAAAAAAUCCAAACGGGGGGGUAUACCCGAAAAAUGAAAAAACCCAAACUUUGAAGGCCGAUAUCUCGGCUUCUAUGGGAGCUAUCGGGAAAAUUCCAACGGUUUUGUCUUAGUUUCGUCCUUCUGAAACCAACGAGAUCAUCCGCAAGGUCGUAGCUUUUACGAUAGCCGAGAUAUGGCAUUUUUGAUGCCCAUUUUUGGCCUCAAAAACGAGGUCGAAAAAAUACUCGAUUUCUUAGUUCUGCUCGGAUUCCCUUAUAACCCGGUAUUUUUGUGAUCUACUUGAUGAGCACAAUCCGCUGGUAUAGUUAGUUUGAAUUCGAAAAAAAAAAAUUUUUCUGAAAAAAAUCCAAACGGGGGGGUAUACCCGAAAAAUGAAAAAACCCAAACUUUGAAGGCCGAUAUCUUGGCUUCUAUGGGAGCUAUCGGGAAAAUUCCAACGGUUUUGUCUUAGUUUCGUCCUUCUGAAACCAACGAGAUCAUCCGCAAGGUCGUAGCUUUCACGAUAGCCGAGAUAUGGCAUUUUUGAUGCCCAUUUUUGGCCUCAAAAACGAGGUCGAAAAAAUACUCGAUUUCUUAGUUCUGCUCGGAUUCCCUUAUAACCCGGUAUUUUUGUGAUCUACUUGAUGAGAACAAUCCGCUGGUAUAGUUAGUUCGAAUUCGAAAAAAAAAAAAAUUUCUGAAAAGAAUCCAAACGGGGGGGUAUACCCGAAAAAUGAAAAAACCCAAACUUUGAAGGCCGAUAUCUCGGCUUCUAUGGAAGCUAUCGGGAAAAUUCCAACGGUUUUGUCUUAGUUUCGUCCUUCUGAAACCAACGAGAUCAUCCGCAAGGUCGUAGCUUUUACGAUAGCCGAGAUAUGGCAUUUUUGAUGCCCAUUUUUGGCCUCGAAAACGAGGUCGAGAAGUGACAAUUUCCGAAUUUUUAAAAAGCUCUUAUUCCCUUAUUUCUGAUCGAAUCCUGUUAUAACCCGGUAUUUUCGUAAUCUACUCGAUGAGAACAAUCCGCUGGUAUAGUUAGUUCGAAAUCGAAAAAAAAAAAAUUUUCUGAAAAAAAUCCAAACGGGGGGGUAUACCCGAAAAAUGAAAAAACCCAAACUUUGAAGGCCGAUAUCUCGGCUUCUAUGGGAGCUAUCGGGAAAAUUCCAACGGUUUUGUCUUAGUUUCGUCCUUCUGAAACCAACGAGAUCAUCCGCAAGGUCGUAGCUUUUACGAUAGCCGAGAUAUGGCAUUUUUGAUGCCCAUUUUUGGCCUCAAAAACGAGGUCGAAAAAAUACUCGAUUUCUUAGUUCUGCUCGGAUUCCCUUAUAACCCGGUAUUUUUGUGAUCUACUUGAUGAGCACAAUCCGCUGGUAUAGUUAGUUCGAAUUCGAAAAAAAAAAAAUUUUAUGAAAAAAAUCCAAACGGGGGGGUAUACCCGAAAAAUGAAAAAACCCAAACUUUGAAGGCCGAUAUCUCGGCUUCUAUGGGAGCUAUCGGGAAAAUUCCAACGGUUUUGUCUUAGUUUCGUCCUUCUGAAACCAACGAGAUCAUCCGCAAGGUCGUAGCUUUUACGAUAGCCGAGAUAUGGCAUUUUUGAUGCCCAUUUUUGGCCUCAAAAACGAGGUCGAAAAGUGACAAUUUCCGAAUUUUUAAAAAGCUCUCAUUCCCUUAUUUCUGAUCGAAUCCUGUUAUAACCCGGUAUUUUCGUAAUCUACUCGAUGAGAACAAUCC
rnacentral:lncRNA from 1 species